rnacentral:rRNA from 1 species
GUAAUACAUCGGAACGUACCCAGUAGCGGGGGAUAGCCCGGCGAAAGCCGGAUUAAUACCGCAUACGCCCUACGGGGGAAAGGGGGGGAUCGUAAGACCUCUCACUAUUGGAGCGGCCGAUGGCUGAUUAGCUAGUUGGUGGGGUAAAGGCCUACCAAGGCAACGAUCAGUAGCUGGUCUGAGAGGACGACCAGCCACACUGGGACUGAGACACGGCCCAGACUCCUACGGGAGGCAGCAGUGGGGAAUUUUGGACAAUGGGCGAAAGCCUGAUCCAGCAAUGCCGCGUGUGCGAAGAAGGCCUUCGGGUUGUGAAGCACUUUUGUCAGGGAAGAAAUCGUUCGGGCUAAUACCUCGGGCAGUUGACGGUACCUGAAGAAUAAGCACCGGCUAACUACGUGCCAGCAGCCGCGGUAAUACGUAGGGUGCAAGCGUUAAUCGGAAUUACUGGGCGUAAAGCGUGCGCAGGUGGUUCGUUAAGACAGUUGUGAAAUCCCCGGGCUUAACCUGGGAACUGCAAUUGUGACUGGCGGACUAGAGUUUGGCAGAGGGGGGUGGAAUUCCUGGUGUAGCAGUGUAAUGCGUAGAUAUCAGGAGGAACACCGAUGGCGAAGGCAGCCCCCUGGGCCAUGACUGACACUCAUACA